AAAUUGAAGAGUUUGAUCAUGGCUCAGAUUGAACGCUGGCGGCAGGCCUAACACAUGCAAGUCGAACGGUAACAGGAAACAGCUUGCUGUUUUGCUGACGAGUGGCGGACGGGUGAGUAAUGUCUGGGAAACUGCCUGAUGGAGGGGGAUAACUACUGGAAACGGUAGCUAAUACCGCAUAACGUCGCAAGACC
rnacentral:rRNA from 1 species